GGGGGGCAGCACACCAGCACCCUCCCAGUACCCCAACCCCAGCACCCCCUUACCUUGCCUGGGGUGCAGCUUCUGCCUCCUCGCUCCUAUCCUCAAGCCGUCGAUGAAGAGCGUGGAACGCCGGAAUCGCAGGUUUUCGCCAAGAAAAGCCCUCGCUGCUGCGGGACGGGAUGGGGCGGGUUGCGGGGGCCUCUGCCGCGGCCCCCGCUGCUCCUCACCGAUGGAUUUAAGAAGGCAAAGUGGCCCGGGCGUAGCGUCACCGGCUGCUACUGAGCUGCAAGGUCCUGGGGGAAGAGCGACCCUGUCACUCGCCAAGAGGAGAGCCGAGCUUUCUUACAUAAUUGAUGAUUUUCCUUCUUUCAAGCAUUCUGAGGGAAAAGAAAGAUUUUUUCUUUAUCCGAGUUUAUUUUGGUUUACAAUUUGGAAGUUUUUCUAUUGAAAUCUAAGACAUCCUUUAGA